AAAGUGCUCCAUAAAUAAAAUGUAUUAUGAAGACGAUGAUCCUUACGAUUGAAUUCAUCCCUCCGAUCGCACGGAUACGACCGACGGCGCGGGAACAAAAAAGCCCCAAAAGAACCCCCCCGCAAAAAAAACCAAGCGUUGUGCAUCCGAAAGCAAACUUUCCGACACAAGCAAGUCCAGCCGCGUGCCAACAACAGACGCGCACAAAAGACCAGAAGAACGGGAAAAACUACAAAGACGGGGAGAGAGCGCGAGCGGUGACAAAUAAACACGACUCUUCCUGAAGUCCAAAGAGGCGCUAAUGAAGAGAGAAUUCUCCAGUUCAAAACGUUCCAGCAAAAUGCACUUUCGG